GGAGCUUGCUCCUUUGACGUUAGCGGCGGACGGGUGAGUAACACGUGGGUAACCUACCUAUAAGACUGGGAUAACUUCGGGAAACCGGAGCUAAUACCGGAUAACAUUUGGAACCGCAUGGUUCUAAAGUGAAAGAUGGUUUUGCUAUCACUUAUAGAUGGACCCGCGCCGUAUUAGCUAGUUGGUAAGGUAACGGCUUACCAAGGCGACGAUACGUAGCCGACCUGAGAGGGUGAUCGGCCACACUGGAACUGAGACACGGUCCAGACUCCUACGGGAGGCAGCAGUAGGGAAUCUUCCGCAAUGGGCGAAAGCCUGACGGAGCAACGCCGCGUGAGUGAUGAAGGGUUUCGGCUCGUAAAACUCUGUUAUUAGGGAAGAACAAACGUGUAAGUAACUGUGCACGUCUUGACGGUACCUAAUCAGAAAGCCACGGCUAACUACGUGCCAGCAGCCGCGGUAAUACGUAGGUGGCAAGCGUUAUCCGGAAUUAUUGGGCGUAAAGCGCGCGUAGGCGGUUUCUUAAGUCUGAUGUGAAAGCCCACGGCUCAACCGUGGAGGGUCAUUGGAAACUGGGAAACUUGAGUGCAGAAGAGGAAAGUGGAAUUCCAUGUGUAGCGGUGAAAUGCGCAGAGAUAUGGAGGAACACCAGUGGCGAAGGCGACUUUCUGGUCUGUAACUGACGCUGAUGUGCG
rnacentral:rRNA from 1 species